rnacentral:ncRNA from 1 species
AUAAAACCAAUGAUAAGGCAUAGUAGUUAAGGGCAAUAGAUGCAAAGAGAGGGCCGCCUAGGCUGAAAGCGGCCUCUUCUACCGUAACGAAUGAACACCUUUGAGGAUUCUUUCUGAACAACCACUGGUUUAGUAGGAAAGGGCGUAGCUGGCGUUAACAGACAAAAGUGGGGGCUUUAUGCCUCAAUUUGGGUGGUACCACGGGAUAUGCUCCCGUCCCAGAU